rnacentral:lncRNA from 1 species
CUCAGCCCUCCUCUGAGAAGCAUCUAAGUCACCCCUCUCUCCUCCACAUGCCUCAGCCCAGCUGGUCAGGGGGACCUGGCUCCCAUGGGAACCGAGUCCACAGGCCUCGCUGAUAGAGAAGUGGGGGCUCUGCCGAGAUUUGGGGCUAAGCCCUCCAGCCUGCUUAUGGGGAAAAAAACCUCUCAACCCAGACUGGGAGAGGAGGGUUUACUUGCUUGCCCGACUUGUGUUUUUUUGCUGGUAAUAGUUUUCAUUGACUGGGGAGUAAAACUGCUCUCCUCUCCUGAACUGACAGAGCAGGACUGGUAAGGGUCAGCUUUGAUUCUGGUCUUCCCUUUGCUCAUCAUUUUAUUUGAGUGCCGUGAGGACAUUCCCCUAUCAGGUUCUUAGAAUCAGAGUACAAAAGCCCACAUGGCGAGGCCUGAGGUUCUCAAUGCACCCUUAGAACCCGCCUCACCCCCGUGCUGGUUGGCGAGUGUCCUCCAGGAGAGAGACCACCCAGUCAGGUGGUCCCGGGGGCAGCAUGACUAACUGGAGUCCUCCAAAUGGGUUGCCUGUCUCUUCCCCUGCCACUAGCUGACGCUUGUGCCGAUGUGUCUUCUGGAGCAUCCUCCAUCCUCUCAGCAUUCGCUUCCCUCAGAGUCACGUCUAACAGCAG